rnacentral:rRNA from 1 species
GACGAACGCUGGCGGCGUGCUUAACACAUGCAAGUCGAACGAAGUGGCGAACGGGUGAGUAAUACGUGUGUAACCUGCCCUCCUUUUUGGGAUAAGCCUUGGAAACGGGGUAUAGUACCGAAUAAAGGGGGAUGGGCUCGCGGCCUAUCAGCUUGUUGGUGGGGUGAUGGCCUACCAAGGCGGUGACGGGUAGCCGGCCUGAGCGGGUGACCGGCCAAAUGGGGACGGAGAGACGGCCCAGACUCCUACGGGAAGAAGCAGUGGGGAAUAUUGCACAAGGGGGGAAACCCUGAUGCAGCAACGCGGCGUGCGUGAUGACGGCCUUCGGGUUGUAAACCGCUUUCAGCCAGGACGCGGUAGUGGCAGAAGAAGCACCGGCUAACUACGUGCCAGCAGCCGCGGUAAUAC